rnacentral:lncRNA from 1 species
CUUUGUUCAAUUGAAGCAACAGGGAUGUGUUGAAAACCAGGCUGUUUCCACAGGUCAUUAUGAAGCUCACUCAUGGAAUUGCCAGUGGAAAAUUUCAGAGAAUCAUCCCAUGGAGCAUGGAUGUUUCAGUACAACCAAGGUCACUGUUUAUGGUAUCUAAGCAAGCAGGAAAAAAUGGCAACUAGCACAGUGAGCAGAUGGCUAACACAGUCCCCUCCAUGUGACUCCUGCUAACAUAGAAGUCUGCUCAAGACUACAUGGACCAAAAUAAUGGAAGCAUUUUCUACAGUCACCUGAUGAAUGCCUUUUGUUUUUGAGAAUUCCUCUUCACUAUAAUGAAGAUCCUGUAAGAGACUGUUAAUGGUGCAUGGUUCCCUUGCUAUCACUUUCAGCAGCCUAAAAUUCUAGUAUUAUAAAAGAUCCUGGGGUGCAAAAUACAUUUUUCAGCCCCUUAAUUAUGUGCCACAUCACUUGUUUGCUUAAUGAGAAACAGGUGGCUUAUUUUCAAUUGCUACCAUUUAUUCCUUUGACAUAAACUUG